CCAACGAUAGCUCAGUUGGUAGAGCGGAGGACUGUAGAUUAUAUGUAGUAAUCCUUAGGUCGGCAGUUCGAAUCCGCCUCGUCGGG
rnacentral:tRNA from 1 species